AUGAAGAACAAUACCAUGAGGGCCCAAUGUACAAUUGUUUCAAACAGCAGCCUCCUCAGUAAUGUAUACAACCUGUUGCCUGUAUAGGUUGCCCUCAGGGACCUUGGAGACAACU
rnacentral:snoRNA from 1 species